ACUAUUCCCAGAGGUAAGAAUUCCCCUUGUGGAUAUUUUAUGAUGCAGAUUCUAUCAACCUUUAGUUCUGUAUUGUCCAUGAUGAGAUGUUCUUACCACAACCUUCUUAUAAUUGUAUUUUGUAUAGCCCUACAGCCAGACAGGAUGAUCACAGCCGAUGUAUGUUCCAAGAAAACAUCAAACACUGCACACACUACUAACACAACUACACACAUACAUGUACAAACACAUAUUGUAAUUACAUUUUCAUUUAGUAUCUGUUCUAGAUGAUUUGGGGAUGGGAGCUGUGAGCAGUGCAGGCAUGUUGGAUUCAAGGGAUGCUGGGAUCAAUUCUCUCAUCACCUUUGUACCGUCCACGUUUUUGCCCUCAGGUCCUGUGCAGGUAUCUGCAAAUGAAGAUGUGGAUUCAGAGAAUGUAAGGAUCUACAGCCUGAUCACUUCUGUACCAUCCACAUCUAUACCAUCAGGCCCUUUUGAAGAAAAUGGACAGUCAUCUGAAAACGACAAUUCUGAUGCGUACCACGUAUACAGCUCAAUCCCCGACAGACCAGCAACCUCAGCCCAGCCGGAUGGGUUGUACAGUUUUCUGCAGGCACAAUGAAACUACACCACUGGCUUUCUAUAGCUAUGUCUCACAGAAAUACUCUUCUAUGUAGGAUGUCCUUUAUUUAUCAUACAACAUGGUACUGUGAAUAAGUAUCUAAUACAUCUACUGCUGUGCCGUUUCUAGUCAUAAGAGACAUAAGUGGCCGCUAGAGGCCCCCCCCACACCAAAAAAACGUCAGUUGGGGUCUCAAGUUACUGUUACUUAGGAAAGUAGAAUACACAACGUGCAGUUUCUAAAUGUGGUUCUGCAUAAGCAGUUUUCCUCUUGUUAUGUCACUGACAGUCACUCAAUUAGCCCAUGUCAGCUACAUUUGAUAGAUUGCUAUGCAAGUUAGUCUAGCCAGCUAUCUAAGCCUUGUAGCAAUGGCUAAAUUACUGCCCAGGGGCCCUGACAUCCAGGGGGCCCCAAAUGAUUUUGUUAGUCACUCUCACUCAGAUAUCAAAUGAACAUGGCAUAAGUCAUGGAAAAAUGUGUAGAACUGUAGGAAAUUAGCUUUUAAAACUGAAUUGUAUUAUUUCAACCCCAUGACACAAUGUGUAGAAUUGCAGGAAAUUAGCUUUAUAAAUGCAAAGUUCUCUCCGCCCCAUGGCAAAAUGAGUAAAAUUGCAGGACAUUAACAUUAAAGCUCUAAAUGUUUCUCUCCGCCACCGUGAGGGAGGGCCACUAAAUUGUUUUUUCCACGAGGUGGGCAAAUCUCGCUUAGGGCCCCCAAAAUGCUUGAAACUGCCCUAAUCUACUGUAUCACACAUAGACACCUGGCUUGUGUUACAUGCCUAUCCAUAAUAUGUUACUGUGUCAGUAUUUUUAUUUGGGGAUUUUGGAGGGGUCCGGAGAAUACUCUCUUUAAAAAAAAAAUCUUAUUCCCCUCCCACCCCAGUAAAUGCUAAAUAUAUACUGUAUUCAUAUCUAUUCUGUCAUCUGUGUGAUACCUCCUUCCAUAACGGUUUGAUACAAUUGACUAAAUAAAAUGUAUUUGGAAUCAAAAUCGAUAGAUACAGACAAUUAAAAAUAAUAUUAUCGUCG